UACGUAGGGGGCAAGCGUUGUCCGGAAUCAUUGGGCGUAAAGAGCGUGUAGGCGGCCCGGUAAGUCCGCUGUGAAAGUCCAGGGCUCAACCCUGGGAUGCCGGUGGAAACUGUCAGGCUCGAGUCCGGAAGAGGCGAGUGGAAUUCCUGGUGUAGCGGUGAAAUGCGCAGAUAUCAGGAGGAACACCAAUGGCGAAGGCAGCUCGCUGGGACGGUACUGACGCUGAGACGCGAAAGCGUGGGGAGCAAACAGG
rnacentral:rRNA from 1 species